GCAGCCCGCGCGGUCCGGCGUCUCGCAUAGGCGCUUCGGGUGAAAUCACUGCUUUACUCGGAUGAAGCCGGCGCUGCACCGCGAACCCCUUCACCUCCCACCCCGUCCGCUCUUUCCUCUCGAACGCGUGUACUUUGGGCGGUCGCUGACCUGAAGACGGGCCGUGUGUCUUCGUAUUUCGGUGAAACCCAGUGUUCUCUCCCUCUCUAACUAUGUUCUUUAAGUGAUCGCCAGUUCCAGUUUGUACUUUGGGAAGCGGUUGGGUCUCCUCCCACUUUUCCGCAUUUUCGUGCUGACUCUGGUGCGGGAUUACUACCUGUGUUUGCCCAAACCAUCACGAGUCCACGAGCCCUGCUGGGCGAUACUUCGGUGCCGCCUUCUAGCCACGGAGCAAACACAGUUUCCCAGGCGCUGGCUGCCCUGUCGGAUUUCUUGGCUUUGUUAUUUGACCGUUAAGAUCAUGACCUGUGAACGGGACCGAGUUUCCAGCCAGCACAUACACACAUGCUCUCCUGACCGGCAUCCACGCUGAUUAGGCAGUGCCCCUGCCGUACUAAGGCUGGGCGUGGUGGCUCAAGCCUGUAAUCACAGCACUUUGGGAGGCCGAGGCGGGUGGAUCACGAGGUCAAGAGAUCGAGACCAUCCUGGUCAACAUGGUGAAACCCCGUCUCUACUAAAGAUACAAAAAAUUAGCUGGGCAUGGUGGCACGUGCCUGUAAUCCCAGCUACUCAGGAGGCUGAGGCAGGAGAAUUGUCUGAACCCAGGAGGCAGAGAUUGCGGUGAGCCGAGAUCGCGCCAUUGCACUCCAGCCUGGGUAAUGAGCGAAACUCCGUCUCAAAAAAAAAAAAAAUUUCUCCUUCAAUUCUCAAUAUUCUGGGAAUAAAAGUUUAUUAAAUUUU